rnacentral:rRNA from 1 species
GACGAACGCUGGCGGCGUGCUUAACACAUGCAAGUCGAACGGAAAGGCCCUGCUUUUGUGGGGUGCUCGAGUGGCGAACGGGUGAGUAACAUGUGAGUAACCUGCCCUUGACUUUGGGAUAACUUCAGGAAACUGGUGCUAAUACCGGAUAGGAGCUCCUGCUGCAUGGUGGGGGUUGGAAAUUUUCGGCGGUUGGGGAUGGACUCGCGGCUUAUCAGCUUGUUGGUGGGGUAGUGGCUUACCAAGGCUUUGACGGGUAGCCGGCCUGAGAGGGUGACCGGCCACAUUGGGACUGAGAUACGGCCCAGACUCCUACGGGAGGCAGCAGUGGGGAAUAUUGCACAGUGGGCGGAAGCCUGAUGCAGCAACGCCGCGUGCGGGAUGACGGCCUUCGGGUUGUAAACCGCUUUCGCCUGUGACGAAGCGUGAGUGACGGUAAUGGGUAAAGAAGCACCGGCUAACUACGUG